ACAAAGGUGGAUGUGAAAAUUCCUUGCCAGCUAAGAAAUUCCGUGCUAGUGAAAUGACUCCGUUGGUCAUGGCCGACCUGGGUAGACGACUGAGAGACCUAGGCUGAUCCCCAGAACCAUGUGGAAAGGUGUCUUACCUGAGCUCUGGAGGGGUCACAGCUCUGGUCUCCUGGGAAUCCGUUUCAAGCCGACUCAAGACCAUGGAUGUAUCACGGGAAGGACCUGAGCUUGUGCAGAGAAAUCCACGACACAGAGAAAGUGCCUUGCUGGACGAGAGGACCGAGACCGGCGCCAUGGUGGGCCCCUCCCCAGCGGUGACCUGCAGCCUGAGAAGCGAGAAGCGCUCUGUGGGACUAGGAGGGAUGGUGCCGGGAGGUGCUUCCCCCAGAAAAACUCAGAGCUUCGUUCCUCACUGGCAUUUGGGGGAGAGGUAUUUAUUUCUUCGUCAGCUCUGUGAAGAAAAAGCCGUAUCUGCCAGGCCUGCUGUGCACCAAAAGCAGAGGACCACGUUCUUCAAACCCGAAAGUUAGGAAAGGGCGGGUGGACAACAGGGGAAGCUGGCGAGAGACAGAGUUUGUGGUAAAAAGCCUGGUGACCGUGGAUGUCAGCUCUCACGUUAUUCUCAUUAUUGAGGGGUGGCGCCUGUGUUCCGAAACCCUAUGGACAUCCGUCCAGAGGUGAGUACCCAAUGGGACCUCUUACUGUAGCCUGGACCCCGUCUCCUCCGCCCAGGGUGGGCUGCAUUUGUCACCAUGACAGCCAUCCCUCAUCAGAAACGUCUUCUCUUCAAUCCAACCCAUACACCACUGGAGAACGUAUUAGGGCCAAAGAAGGGGAGGGAAUAUGAAGAAAUAGCAGACAGACAAAUACAGAGGAAAUCAGCGGUAAGAC